GCCAGGCGUGGUGGCGGGUGCCUGUAAUCCCAGCUACUCAGGAGGCUGAGGCAGAGAAUUGCUUGAACCCAGGAGGCAGAGGUUGCAGUGAACUGAGAUUGGGCCACUGCACUCUAGCCUGGGUGACAGAGCAAGACUCUGUCUUAA
ensembl:misc_RNA Metazoa_SRP Metazoan signal recognition particle RNA